rnacentral:misc_RNA from 1 species
GCAGUGGUCCAAGGGCAGUUUCUGUCGUCAAUGCAUCAUCAGAAAGGCUUGGAGGGACAAGUAUAGUUGCAACAGCUGUUGUGCCAGAUGAUGUGCAAAAGAUUAAAGACAUGUUGCAGAAGUGGAGUGACGUUGACAAAGUGGAUCUUAUUCUUACCCUUGGUGGGACUGGCUGUACACCUAGGGAUGUUACCCCUGAAGCUACCAAAAGUAUGAUACAGAAAGAAACACCCGGUCUUCUCUAUGUUAUGAUGCGAGAAAGUUUGAAGGUUACGCCCUCUGCAAUGCUCUCACGUGCAGCAGCUGGAAUAAGAGGAUCAACAUUGAUCAUCAAUAUGCCAGGCAAUCCAAAUGCAGUCGCGGAGUGCAUGGAAGCUUUGUUGCCUUCACUUAAGCAUGCACUGAAGCAGGUAAGGGGUGACAAGAGAGAGAAACAUCCUCGUCAUAUUCCUCAUGCACAAGCUGCUCCCACAGAUACUUGGGAACGUAGUUACAAGUUGGCUUCGGGUGGUGGUGAAGAGCAUGGUUGCUCGUGUUCCCACUAACAUGUAUAUCUUGUUGAUAUUAUACUCUUGACAUUAACUUGGAACCAUGUGCAUCUAAAGCACCUUUUCGAAUGAGUUAUGUUGUAUCUUAUACACAAGGCCACUUCAAAG